rnacentral:ncRNA from 2 species
AGGAGCCGUGUGAGGUGAAAGUCUCAAGCACGGUUCUGAAGACAAGUCGAAUGGGUGACCGUUCGGCUUAGUUUAAC